GAUGAACGCUGGCGGCGUGCUUAACACAUGCAAGUCGAGCGAAGCAGUUUAAAUGAGACUUCGGUGGAUUUUAAACUGACUGAGCGGGCGACGGGUGAGUACGCGUGGAUAACCUGCCUCACACAGGGGGAUAACAGUUAGAAAUGACUGCUAAUACCGCAUAAGCGCACGGCAUCGCAUGAUGCAGUGUGAAAAACUCCGGUGGUGUGAGAUGGAUCCGCGUCUGAUUAGGUAGUUGGUGGGGUAACGGCCCACCAAGCCGACGAUCAGUAGCCGACCUGAGAGGGUGACCGGCCACAUUGGGACUGAGACACGGCCCAA
rnacentral:rRNA from 1 species